rnacentral:rRNA from 1 species
AACCUGGUUGAUCUUGCCAGUAGUCAUAUGCUUGUCUCACAGAUUAAGCCAUGCAAGUGAAAGUACAUAUGUAAGUAAUAUAUUGAAACUGCGAACGGCUCAUUAAAACAGUUAUAAUCUACUUGAUGUUUUUAAUAUAAGGAUAACUACGGAAAAUCUGUAGCUAAUACUUGUGAAAAUACCUUUUGAUAUAUACAUAUAUAUAUAUAUGUAUGUAUCAUUAAGGUAUGUAUUUGUUAGAUAUAAGAAUAAAAUAAAUAUAAUUGAAUUAUAACAAAGAAGAAACACAUAAAAUAUGUGUAUUAUCAAUCGAGUAUCUGACCUAUCAGCUUUUGAUGUUAGGGUAUUGACCUAACAUGGCUAUGACGGGUAACGGGGAAUUAGAGUUCGAUUCCGGAGAGGGAGCCUGAGAAAUAGCUACCACAUCUAAGGAAGGCAGCAGGCGCGUAAAUUACCCAAUUCUAAAAAAGAGAGGUAGUGACAAGAAAUAACAAUACAAUAUCGAAAAAUGAUUUUGUAAUUGGAAUGAUAGGAAUUUACAAGGUUCCUAGAGAAACAAUUGGAGGGCAAGUCUGGUGCCAGCAGCCGCGGUAAUUCCAGCUCCAAUAGCAUAUAUUAAAAUUGUUGCAGUUAAAACGUUCGUAGUUGAAUAUUAAAGAAUCCGAUGUUUCAUUUAAACUGGUUUGGGAAAACCAAAUAUAUUAUAUAUUUUGCUUUGUUCAAAAUAAGGUUUUCUAAUAAAUUAUGUUUUUAUCAGAUAUGACAGAAUCUUUUUUAAAAUCUCUUCAAUAUGCUUUUAUUGCUUUUGAGAGGUUUUGUUACUUUGAGUAAAAUUAAGUGUUCAUAACAGACGGGUAGUCAUGAUUGAGUUCAUUGUGUUUGAAUACUACAGCAUGGAAUAACAAAUAUGAAUAAGCUAAUUAUUUUUUUUUUUCAUUAUUUUUUUUGAUAUUCUUAUUAGCUUAGUUACGAUUAAUAGGAGUAGCUUUGGGGGCAUUCGUAUUCAGAUGUCAGAGGUGAAAUUCUAAGAUUUUCUGGAGACGGACUACUGCGAAAGCAUUUGCCUAAUCUAUUUCCAUUAAUCAAGAACGAAAGUUAAGGGAGUGAAGACGAUCAGAUACCGUCGUAAUCUUAACCAUAAACUAUACCGACUAGGUGUUGGAUGAAUAUAAAAAAUAUAUAAAUAUGUAGCAUUUCUUAGGGGAUGUUGAUUUUAUAUUAGAAUUGCUUCCUUCAGUACCUUAUGAGAAAUCAAAGUCUUUGGGUUCUGGGGCGAGUAUUCGCGCAAGCGAGAAAGUUAAAAGAAUUGACGGAAGGGCACCACCAGGCGUGGAGCUUGCGGCUUAAUUUGACUCAACACGGGAAAACUCACUAGUUUAAGACAAGAGUAGGAUUGACAGAUUAAUAGCUCUUUCUUGAUUUCUUGGAUGGUGAUGCAUGGCCGUUUUUAGUUCGUGAAUAUGAUUUGUCUGGUUAAUUCCGAUAACGAACGAGAUCUUAACCUGCUAAUUAGCGGCAAGUACACUAUAUUUUUAUUUGAAAUUGAAUAUAGGUAAUUGUACAUUUAUUCAGUAAUCAAAUUAGGAUAUUUUUAUUAAAAUAUAUCCUUUUCCCUGUUCUACGAUAAUAAUUUGUUUUUUACUCUAUUUCUCUCUUCUUUUAAGAAUGUACUUGCUUGAUUAAAUAAAGCUUCUUAGAGGAACAGUGUGUAUCUAACACAAGGAAGUUUAAGGCAACAACAGGUCUGUGAUGUCCUUAGAUAAACUAGGCUGCACGCGUGCUACAAUGAUAUAUAUAACAAGUUGUUAAAAAUGUACUUAUAAAUAAGUGUGUACAGUUUUUCCUGUACUGAAAAGUAUAGGUAAUCUUUAUCAGUAUAUAUCGUAAUUGGGAUAGAUUAUUGCAAUUAUUAAUCUUGAACGAGGAAUGCCUAGUAAGCAUGAUUCAUUAGAUUGUGCUGACUACGUCCCUGCCCUUUGUACACACCGCCCGUCGCUCCUACCGAUUGAAAGAUAUGAUGAAUUGUUUGGAUAUGAAUUAAAAUAAUGAAAUUUUAUAUUUCUGAUUUUUUCUAGAAGAACUGUAAAUCCUAUCUUUUAAAGGAAGGAGAAGUCGUAACAAGGUUUCCGUAGGUGAACCUGCGGAAGGAUCAUUA